rnacentral:lncRNA from 1 species
UACCAAGUGGUUAAUGUUUGUUGAUUGCAGCACCAUGCUCUGCUCUCAGUGCAGCUUUUGGAUGCAGUGUGGCGCUUCUCGGUCUCCAGGGAACUCGUGGCAUUUUGCCCAGAUGGCAUCAGCCUGUGUCUGAAGGACACAGCCCGGCGCCUACCGAUCUCCGCAGCGGGAGCCUUAGCGACAGGUGAUGCGGGGGCUCUGCUUCUGUCUCUGUUUGGGGUGGGGGGGAGCUCCUGCAAAUGCCAGGCAUCACCCUUUAAUCUAGGUGAAUGAUCCUGUACCUGGCUGUAGCCUGGGAUUCCUUUGUGUGGCGGAGAGCCAGCUGGGUGGGCUGGAUCCAGUCGCUCCGGCAGGGGAGUGUGCUCACUUGGCUCCUUCUUCUUCGACCAGCUGUGCAGGUCAAAGAAGAGUCAUCCUCCUUUAAGUGCCAAGAAGAGGCCUUCUACCUUCUGGUGCAAGAAGACAUUGAACACAGCAAUAUAUUGCACCCGUUCACUCUACUAGCAAGACAGGCUGUAUUCCAGCAGAUGUCUGAGGACAAUUGGGGGUCAAAAUAUAUGUGACUGUCAGCUUGCUCGCUAGUCCAGGUGAGUCAGAUUUUUGACAGGUACAAAAAUAGCUUUAAUUUUUUCAUUAGUACCAAUGAUGAGGUUAAAAGCCAAAUGAAAAGACUUUGCAGCUGGGCUGGUAAAUGUUCAUGACAGUUUUGCAAGAGGUUUUUCCCUUCACAAACAAAACCACCACCUAGCUGCCUUCAUUCUCUUUUCUCACAAUCUUCUAUGAUAGCACAGUUGAAACUCUGCUUAUUUCCAUGUUAACAGUAGAAGAGUUUAGAAAAAAAAUUAACUCCUGAAUAGCAUUGAAGGCAUGUACAAGAAUAAUUAAUUGUUUCCUUGAACAGUAACUGUUCAAACUACUAGGCUAGUUUGAAGUAAUGCUUCAGAGCUAAAUGCAGGAACUGCUGAUAAGCAACCUUACGGGUGACAGGGUUGUUAUGCACCAAAGUACUCCAGCAGUGGUGCAGGACAGCAUGUAUAGUAGGCUAAUAUAUCUGAACAUAUGAGAAAAAAAAAGAUUGGUUUGUAGAGAUGUAACUAGAGGUAUGUUACAUCCUCACUAUUAGUCUGUCCGGCACAGCACUAAGCCCUUUUCACUUUAGCUGUUUUGGGUAAAAACCUAUUAUCUAUUCUAUUUAUUAUAUUCGCCACUGGCAAUAUUGUGUCUAUGUCCUUGUGUGGUGUUACUGAUCAGAUAUUGAAACCUUACUAAUCUUUUACACUAACUAAACACAAG